rnacentral:lncRNA from 1 species
UCAAAGAUGGAAGAGGGCAGAAGAGCCAGAAAAGGAUAUGUGACAAUGGAGUCAGUGUCAGAGUUGGAGUGACGUGAUGUGAGAAGGAUUCAACCUGCUGUUUCUGGCUUUGAGGAUGAAAGAAGGGGCCAUGAGCCAAGCAAUACAGGUGGCUUCUUUCAAGAAGUUGGAAAAGGAGGAAAGACCAAAAAAGGAUAAAACACACCAAAGUUUGUUCAAUCCAGCCAGUCCCCAGCAAAGACCUAAAAGAAUGAAUUCAUUUUCUGUGUCUCAGGACUGCAUCAUUGCUUACCCAACAUGACUCAGCCUCGGUAUUGCCACUGACUCACGGAGCUCCUAAUAGAGGAGAAUUAGUGUCACAGAUUGACUGGAAAACCAAUCCACAUGAAGCCAGGAAGAGAAAUGAAGCUGCUGUUGCUGAAUCCAUAGCUGGCCUUAAUGAUGCUGGCUAGGAAAGACGGCCCAUUCUGGGAGAGAUAAGUCAAUUUUGCAGUGUCUG